GCAUACGCACGACGUACAAGACCAGCGAGCUCGCAACCCCGUCGCCGCUCUGGUCAUCUACAAUUGAUUUGUCCACCGCGGCGGAGUGUUGUUUGAUUUGUCGGCUCCAUUGUGUAUUUCAAUAUCUGUGGGAGGAUUUCCAUCGGCCUUUUCACAGCUAGGCUUUUAUGUUCGGAGAUGAAGGGAGCACACAUGGCCGUUGCAUGAAUCGACCUCCAUACCGUCCUCAUCCAACCUUGGUCCUGACUAUCCUCAUUUGAUAUAUAAAGUAUGUUGAGGUUGCAUCCAUACCAUGCUUCCAGCUUUCUAUGCUUCAUACAUAUAGUGCUACAUUGUCGGUCCUUACUGUUUUGCUUCAUACUUACCACAUCCUUUAACCUGGCCCAGUUUACUUCAUACAUAUCAAACUCCGCUUCUACAUUGUGUUUAGUUUUGCCUCAGCUCUACGUCUCCUAUGUGCUUGUAGGUCUCAUGUUUCUACUUAAUCGACAACUAAAUCAUGGUUCCUAAAUUUCACAUAUAUUAUGGACAAGAUGCAUGUCACCCCCUUCUUUGUCUUAAUUUGAAUGACUAUGCAUAAACCUUUUGUAUCCCCAUUAUAAGCUGUGCUUCUAUGUACAAGUUUUGUUGAGAUUGCAUGAAUAUGAUGCAUCCAAUUUUUAUGAUUCAUUUGUAUCUUCAUAAUGCACAAUAAACUUCAUACACACGAUAGUUAUGCUUCUUCACUAUGUACUGUUUGCUUCAUGUACUUCACACUAUUGCUUCCAAAUUAAUUAUGUUCAGUUGGCUUCAUUUCCAUGCUUCAUAUUAUUUCAUAGGUGUCAUAUUUGUAUUUUCAAAUCAAACUACUCAUGAUUUCUAAAUUUUUGCAGGGCUAACUUGAGACGAAGAUCAUGCUUUUCAUGUACUUCACACUAUUGGUUCCAAAUUAAUUAUGUUCACUUGGCUUCAUUUCCAUGCUUCGUAUUAUUUCAUAGGUGUCAUAUUUGUAUUUUCAAAUCAAACUACUCAUGAUUUAUAAAUUUUUGCAGGGCUAACUUGAGAGGAAGAUCAUGCUUUUCAUGUACUUCACACCAUUGCUUCCAAGUUAAUUAUGUUCAGUUGGCUUCAUUUCCAUGCUUUGUAUUAUUUCAUAGGUGUCAUAUUUGUAUUUUCAAAUCAAACUACUCAUGAUUUCUAAAUUUUUGCAGGGCUAAUUUGAGAGGAAGAUCAUGCUUUACCAACUGUGAUCGAUGGUGUCGGCCUCACUGCUCUCGCCAGACUCUUGUGGCUCGCGAUAUUGAUACCUGCAGAUUUGUGAGACAAAAGAAAGCUAUCGAGGGAGAUCCAAAUCGUUUUUCUAGGGUUCGAGUAGCACGGCGGCGUGUGGCGAUUUUGCGAUCUCCACGGUGCCAACCUAGGGUUCUGCCCGUCGAUUGCUAAUCCUCGCCGGCUCCCUGGCCUGUGCGCUCGGGGUGAUCAAGGGGGGGGGGGAUCCUUGCAUCCCUACCCAUGCUUGGUGCACGCUUGUGGGCGGGAGGAAGGAGGCGCUGCAGCUCGGGCGGUUAUGGCUAGUUCGAGCAACAACAAUCCAGAUGGGAACCGUCAUGAAGAGGGAGUAGAGCAGAUGUUCAAGUAGAUGGGAUUUGAGAUGGGCGCUCAUUGGAAAGGUAUUAUACCGCAGGGUGUUACAUAUUAGUACGAUCUCGGAUGCACUCCGGCUGGCAUGGGGUAACCCGGGCUUUGCAAUUCCGAUCCAGAGGGGAAAACGUUUCUGUGGCAAGCUUUGAAGGAAGGAGAGAUCGUGAUCGGGUCUUGGAAGGAGGCCUGUGGACUGUGGGGAAGCACUGUGUGGUGCUAGAGAUCUUCAAUAUCAAAUCGCGCCUUUUGGAACUAAGCUUUGAUAGAAUCAGGAUCUGGGCAAGGGUGGUGAAAACCUGCCUUUCAACCUGUUGUGCCCUCCAUGGCCAGCAAGGAUAGCGGCGAUGAUGGGAGAUGUUAUCCAGCUUGAUGCGGAUGCGAAAGGCUAUGUGGCUGGUGACUGUGUUAGGGCCAGGAUUUGGCUCAAUGUGCAUGAACCUGUGAUGAGGUGGGUACAACUUGAGUCAGCAAAAAAAGGGACUAUAGAAUUUUUUGACAUUCAGUAUGAAAACUUGCCGCACUUAUGCUUCUCUUGUGGGCUUUUAGGCCAUGCGAAAGCUCUGUGUUUAACACCAGCGGGGAGAGAUGAGUUCGUUAGACCACCGUAAUGUGAAUCCGGUAUAUGCCAUACCGGUGCACUCAUGUUGCUGGACCAAGAAACUCUGAGUAAUAAGAGGGCUAGCGAAGAAAAGGAGGCCGAGUCUGAGAAAGACAGUAGGGACUCAAAGAAGAAGAAGGUUGCACUUGACACGGCAAAUACAGAUGCGGAGGUUGUGAGUUAGCCCCGCACGCACAAUGAAUACUAUAUCUUGGAACUGUCGCGGGCUUGGGAACCCGGAGACAGUUCGUGAGCUUCACAACCUAGUGAGGCUAGAAGCGGCCGCCCUUGUGUUUUUGUGCGAGACAAAUAUCAAGGGUAAUCGCGCGACUGAUCUAACGAAGAGAGGUGACCCUGCUCGCAGACCACAUCACCCAUAAGAAUCAGUCGGCCUUCAUCCAGAGCCAAUACAUCCUGGAUGGGGUGCUGGUGUUCCAUGAAGUCCUUCAUGAGGUCCGAGCGUCAGCAGGCGGUCUUCCUGAAGAUUGACUUUCAUAAGGUCUACUACACCGUGCACUGGUCCUUCCUUUAGAAGUCCUCCUCCAUAAAGGGUUCGAUGAUAGAUGGGUCACCCAUGUGAUGCAGAUGGUGUCCUACGCCGCACCGCGGUUAACAUUAAUGGGGAGAUUGGCCACUUCUUCCCCACCCUAUGUGGGGUGAGACAGGGCGACCCCUUUUCCCCGUUUCUAUUCAACAUGGUGGUCGACGCACUUGCUGCCAUCCUCGACAAGGUUAAGGCCGCGGGACACAUCCAUGUCAUAGUUCCCCAUCUCGUUGGCUUAGGUGGAGUAUCAACAUUGCAGUACGCCAAUGACACCAUUAUCAUGGUGUUCGGCGGCUCGGAGGACAUCACGAACCUAAAGUUCCUCCUGCUAUGUUUCCAACAGAUGUCGAGCCUCAUGAUCAACUUUGACAAGAGCACAGUGAUGGUGAUGAGAUACUCGCCUACCGAUUCUUAGGACAUUGCCAAUCGUCUUAAACUGCCAACUGGGAUCCUUCCCCACUACUUAUCUGGGGAUUCCCAUUAGUGACUCGCACCUCUCCGUCGCGGACCUUCGGCCCACGGUGUCCAAACUCCAACGGCGCAUUGUGCCCUGGCAGGGCAGAUGGUUUAAGGCACAUGGACGCUGCUCAUCAA